GCCGAUUUCCUCACCUCUCCCGAGCCUCCUCUCGCAAUUCUUCUCUUCCCCGAGCCUCUCCCUCUCGCGACCCUAGUCUCCCCAACCCACCGCCGACCACUCUUCUCCGUCGGGCCACAGCCGCCGAGCCACGGCCACCGGCUUCUGCUCCUCACGCGAUCACCUCCUUCUCGCGAUUUCCUCACCCAAUCGCCACCUGCCCUCAGCACGAGAGAUCGCCGCCGUCACGGUUCGCCAUCAUCCGAUCGCCGCUCUCAUCCCUAAUGACAUUCUCCUCCACAGAUUAGCCGGGACUGUUUGGCCACCGUUCUUCCCAAGUUCUUCCUCAGCGGAGGCUGAUUCUCGGCCAAGAGGGGAACCUAUGCUUAUCAUCGAUCCCCUUGGCGCUACUCCUGGGUGCCUGCGGCUCCGACCACAGGAACCCUUUGGCCCAGCCAAUGGGUGUUCGAGACCAGACUCUCACACCCUAGAUUUCCUCUUGCUGCGUCAUGCCCUAAUUUCCUAAUGCCACCAGCUACCUGCCCAGAUCUUGGCUGUGAGCAGCGGUUUGCCCUGCUGUGGGUAGGAGCUGACAACCCUAGACGAUGACUCUCUGUUGCCUGCUGUUAUUGCCGGAGAUGAAAGGAAUAUGGGAUUACAGGAGAAGUAGAGGAUGGUUGUAGAUUGUCGUUGUUGGCUAUAAGCCACUUCUAGUGCUACCUUGUUACCAAAUUUGGGGUAACAGGUAGAUGAGUCAUGGAUGCUUGGAGAGUCCCGACUGUCGGUCCCACUUCCCACAUCAUAUCUGAGGACAUUUAUCGAUUUUAUUUUCGCUUUACUUGUAUUUCUAGUAUUCAGCAAUUUUAGUAUUGUAUGAAUUUGUUUGUGUUUGGAGUUUGAUUCGUGGUGUUUUGCUAUCGUGAUCUUGUGGUUGUGUAAGCCUAAUUGGCUAGUAAACUUUAGUUGUGGAUUGUGAAUUUUCUCUUCGUUUUUCCGCUGUGCUUUUAAUACAGUCGUGUCGGCUGAAUAUUAACUGCGUGGUUGUUUUAUUGAUUUAUGUCCAGUCGG